ACGCAGCAUGCAUGUGUUGUGGUGGAAAGAUUUAUCGGUGCAGGAUGGGCCCGCGGCCUAUCAGCUUGUUGGUGGGGUAAUGGCCUACCAAGGCGACGACGGGUAGCCGACCUGAGAGGGUGACGGCCACACUGGGACUGAGACACGGCCCAGACUCCUACGGGAGGCAGCAGUGGGGAAUAUUGCACAAUGGGCGGAAGCCUGAUGCAGCGACGCCGCGUGAGGGAUGAAGGCCUUCGGGUUGUAAACCUCUUUUCAGCUCUGAAGAAGCGUGAGUGACGGUAGGAGCAGAAGAAGCACCGGCUAACUACGUGC
rnacentral:rRNA from 1 species